GACGAACGCUGGCGGCGUGCUUACCUUUUGCAAGUCGAACGAUGAAGUUCCUUCGGGAAUGGAUUAGUGGCGAACGGGUGAGGAACACGUGAGAAACCUGCCUUUCAUUUUGGGAUAACUCCGGGAAACCGGGGCUAAUACCGAAUACUCCGUCUCGGCGGCAUCGCUGAGCCGGGAAAAAAUUUUGAUGAAAGAUGGUCUCGCGGCCUAUCAGCUAGUUGGUGAGGUAAUGGCUCACCAAGGCGACAACGGGUAGCCGGCCUGAGAGGGCGACCGGCCACACUGGGACUGAGACACGGCCCAAACUCCUACGGGAGGCAGCAGUGGGGAAUAUUGGGCAAUGGGCGCAAGCCUGACCCAGCGACGCCGCGUGAGGGAUGAAGGCCUUCGGGUUGUAAACCUCUUUCAGUAGGGAAGAAGCGAAAGUGACGGUACCUAAAGAAGAAGCACCGGCUAACUAUGUG
rnacentral:rRNA from 1 species